CGGCGGCGCCGUUGGGGGCGGGGGAUCCGGCCUCCCAAUUGGUCGCCGUGCGCCCCGCCCCGCCAGGGAUCCCGGGAGCUGUCCGGCCGCCUCGGUGCUGAUCCCGCCACCGCCCACGGGCCGCUAGCAGCGCAGAGGGCACUAUGAGCGGGGGCGUCUACGGCGGAGAUGAGGUGGGGGCGCUGGUCUUUGACAUUGGCUCCUUCUCAGUCCGCGCUGGGUACGCUGGGGAGGACUGUCCCAAGGCUGACUUCCCCACCACGGUGGGGCUGCUGGCCGCGGAGGAGGGGGGCGGGCUGGAGCUGGAGGGGGACAAAGAGAAGAAAGGGAAGAUCUUCCACAUCGACACCAAUGCCCUGCACGUGCCUCGGGAUGGAGCGGAGGUCAUGUCGCCCCUCAAGAAUGGCAUGAUCGAGGACUGGGAGUGCUUCCGAGCCAUCCUGGAUCAUACCUACAGCAAACACGUCAAGUCUGAGCCAAACUUGCACCCCGUGCUCAUGUCCGAGGCCCCGUGGAACACACGGGCCAAGCGGGAGAAGCUGACAGAGCUGAUGUUCGAGCAGUACAACAUUCCUGCCUUCUUCUUAUGCAAGACGGCCGUGCUCACCGCCUUUGCAAACGGGCGGUCCACGGGCCUUGUGCUGGACAGUGGGGCCACCCACACCACGGCCAUUCCAGUACAUGACGGCUACGUCCUGCAGCAAGGUGGGGCUUCGGCAAGGGGCAGGGGCGCACCAGGAGGACGAGAUCCUGACACUGCCUUCCUUCCAGGUAUCGUCAAGUCCCCUCUGGCAGGGGACUUCAUCUCCAUGCAGUGCCGGGAGCUGUUCCAGGAGAUGGCCAUUGACAUCAUCCCACCUUACAUGAUCGCAGCCAAGGAGCCUGUCCGGGAGGGCGCCCCCCCAAACUGGAAGAAGAAGGAGAAGCUCCCCCAGGUCUCCAAGUCCUGGCAUAACUACAUGUGUAAUGAGGUGAUCCAGGACUUCCAGGCCUCCGUGCUGCAGGUCUCAGACUCCCCCUACGAUGAACAGGUGGCUGCACAAAUGCCCACAGUGCACUACGAGAUGCCCAAUGGCUACAACACAGACUAUGGCGCCGAACGACUCCGCAUCCCCGAGGGCCUCUUUGAUCCCUCGAACGUCAAGGGCCUGUCGGGGAAUACCAUGUUGGGUGUGGGCCACGUGGUGACCACCAGCAUCGGCAUGUGUGACAUUGACAUUCGCCCGGGCCUGUAUGGGAGUGUCAUUGUCACCGGCGGGAACACACUGCUGCAGGGCUUCACUGACAGGCUCAAUCGAGAGCUUUCCCAGAAGACCCCACCGCCCCUUUUUACCCCCAGAGCAUGCGACUGAAACUCAUUGCCAGCAACAGCACCAUGGAGCGCAAGUUCAGCCCCUGGAUUGGGGGUUCCAUCCUGGCCUCACUGGGCACUUUCCAGCAGAUGUGGAUCUCCAAGCAGGAAUAUGAGGAGGGCGGGAAGCAGUGCGUGGAGCGAAAGUGUCCCUGACGGCGCUCCUCCCCACGCACCUGCUCCCAAGCUCAGCUGGAAGUCCCUUAACCCCAUGCCACAUCGCCCCCUCCUCUUUCCCUCUUGUCUUCGUAAAUGGUGAUGUUUCUGGGUUGAAAGAAGUAAAAAUGUUUUAA